UUUGAACAGUAAUUUAUCACAGUUUUUGACAUUUUCUUGCAAAGAAUCGAUUUUAUUUUUCUAUAUUUUAGCUUCUGAAUACGCACUAUAUUUUUUCAUCACUGCGUAGCAUCCCGUGCUGAUGUACGUAAGCCCCGCAAACCAAUCGUAUCUACUCGGCCAUUUCGGUCACCCAGAUAACUGGUUCCCUAUACCUCUUACCAGUUUAAAUGAUGUAUAUUUCUGCUCAUAGAGGGCAGUUAUUCCUUGCACCGGAAAUAGAAGUCUAACGACAAUAAAGCGCUGAGCUAUGCUUAGCGCUUUAAAAAUUAAUAACUUCUGAAUCACAAUUUAUCAAAUUGUACUGUCUGUAUGCUAUUGAAUGGAAAAUUAUACUGGACAAAAGAAAAGAGAACAGUUUACAUGUAGUAAUAACACAAAUAAAGAAAGUAAAAAAUAUAUAUAUAAUCAAAAUUUCCCAAUUGAAUUCAAUUUUGAGGGAAAAAAAUUAUGUACCACCAGAAACUACUACAAAAAAACUUUCUUCGGGAUAAUGGACAAACCUGAUAGCAUAUACAAUGUGGAUGAGACUGGGUUUAGCAAAAUGGACAAACGAGAGAAGGUUCUAACAGAGAGGUCAAGGAAACAUACUUAUGCAAGAAGUGUUUCAUCAACCUGCCACAUCACAGCAAAUAUCUGUGUAUCAGCUGAUGGACAUGUACUUCCAACAUUUCUCAUUUUCGAAAACAGCUCCCCAAGUGGAAGUUACAGAGAUUGCAAAUAACAAACCAUAUACAGUCAGUUCAAGGAUAUAAUAUACAUUUUAAAAACUACAACAUAUUUACCAUGAAUGUAUAUUAAAAAAAUCAAUUCCAAUAAACGAAACAAAAUAAAAAACAAAAACAUAUUCAAAUCAUUUACAAAUCAAAGUAUGUACAAUUAACACAUAUGACUCGCUCACACAUAUAAUUAAUACUUUAAAAAUGAUAAGAGGGACGCGGUGGAUGAUAAAUACAUACAAACACAAUUUCUAAUAACUAAGGCAAUGAAAUGUUUACAUUGACAGGUGUUCCUAGAGAUUGGUCGUUUGGUACCUCACCAAACGGCUACAUGGACGGCGAACUGUUCUACAAAUAGUUUGAAUCAGUGUUCCUACCGAAUGUACAUAAACGUCCUGCCUCAUUGGUCCUUGACAACCGCGAGAGUGAUCUCACUCUCAAACUUCUACAGCGGGCAAAAAACAGGUAAUGUGGAGCUGUACGGGUUACCUCCCGACACAACACAUGUAACCCAGCCUUUGGAUGCGGCCCUUUUUAAACAUCUCAAGUCCAAAUUUUCUGAUAUUGCUGUCAUUGUGGGGUAUGCCAGGAAAGAUGAUUGGCAAGGCAAAGUAAGGCCAUGUUUCUCACGACUACCUAUAUGAACAAUAUAACACCUCUGUAGUUAAUUCAAUUUUAUAAAACUCCAUAUAAACUACUUAAUUAAAAUAAAUCAUCAGUAAAUUUCAAUUCGCUGAGAAUACAAUAUAUUGCACCUACUGGUACAUAUUUGAAUCACAUUUUUUUUUUAAAUUAAUUACUUAAAAAUAAAAUAUAGCACAGCAUUCAAUUACAAUUUUCAUUUCAUUUAAUUAGAUUUGCACUAGUGUUGUCAUCCGCCAUUGAUCAGUGCUUCAUUCCACACCAUAUCAAGGAGGUUUUCAGAAAGACAGUCAUUUUCCCUUUCAAUCCUAAGGUGAUUGACCAGAACCAAUCUGCCCCUGCUGAACCCAAACAGCAUCUUCUUAAAGAAGAAACUCCUGGUAAUUCAAAAUCAUGAAUCAAAAUGAAACAUAUGUACAUACCACAUUACACAAAAAAAGUCAAAAGACAGCUUAAAUCAUCAAACUUCUUUUUCAACCAACAGUUUUCUAUGAAGUAAGUUUAAACUUUUCAUACCAUUAUUAAUCUAUUUUCUUUUUAAAGACAAUCCAUCUGAAAAACAGGACAUUCUUUGCCACGCCUGUGGUCAUUUUCUUGGGCAAAAUCCUUUGGUAAAGCAGGGUCUCAUUCGUGAAAACCUCUCUGAGAUAUUUCUCCCCAUCUUUCUGCAAACUUCUGAUAAAAAAAGGCGGAUCAUAACAACAUCCAUAGUUUUAACAGGUUAAUAAUAUUCAAAGAAUACAAAAAGACAUGAUAAUUUUUUAUAAACCAGAGAAAGAGAAAAAAGUCAGAGAGAGAGAGAGAGAUCAAGUCUAAAAUGAUAACAAUUGUCUAUUCAAUAUCUUAUAAAAUAUAGUCAUUUUGUUUUAAAUUUUAACCAUCAAAUAAUGAUUGUUAUCUUAUCCACUUGUCAUGUCAUAUAGGACAUGCGAUCAUAACUCGACUAGCACAAAAAGAAGCAGAUGAGGAGGAAAAAAAAGAAGAAAAAGGAGGAGAGGAGGGAAAAGGCUGAGAAUAAGAGGAAAGAGGCUGAGAGGAAAAGGAAAGAGGCGGAAGAAGAGGAAAGAGGCCGAGAGGAAAAGGGAAGAGAAAAGCCUAAAACAAUGCAGAAAAAGAUAAUCAACAGAGGAUGAGGAAUACUUACCAGUCUUAGAGAGGCCCAAGCGAAGGAUAAUAAAACCAAAGAAGUUCGCUGACCAGCUUGUAGAAGAUCCUGAAGUCACAUUUGAUGAAACGCCAGACACGACAUUGUGCUUCUUCUGCUCAAGUCACGAGGCCCCAUCAACCAGCAAAUCAGAUCCAGUUGUCGAUGGCUGGUUUUCAUGUGAUGUUUGUGACGAUUGGUAUCAUUGUGUAUGCCAAGGCUUUACAAAUGAUGAGGACUUUGUUGUCAUUCCUCCAGUAUGCCAGAGCUGUGCUCGUUGGGAGAAAUAACGUUUUCAUACCACCACGUCCAACUCCACGUUCGAUAAAAACUCAAUGCGCAUGCGAUGGUUGCAUCAUUGAAAAAAAUAAAUCAAAUUUUAAUCUUAUUUUGUUUCUGAUUAAAUUUAUUUUUUCUCAUAAACUUACAUCUGUCUUAUCUUGUCAUUUUUCUUACGUAAUUUAGGUAGUAUGUCUAUUAAUUAGUGAAUGUGAAUAAGUAAAUUAGUGAAAAGAUAAAAGCGGCAAUAAUGGGUACUCGACUUCCUGUUUAUCAAAGGUACAUGGUUUACUUUUAGUCAGAAGUAAGUCGAUAUCGAAUGGUAUGCAACAAAAAACAUCAUAUAAGUUGUAUGAAUGAACACUGCAGAGAUCUGCAUAGAAAAUUUUACAUGACAGUUAAUAUGAAGAGAAUAAUUUUCAAAAAAUGUGUAUCGUUCGGCAAUAAUGGGUACUCGCACGUUGCACGUUAUAUCAGCUAUUGUCAACAUUUUGGUAAUAAGGGUCCUGCUCUGCGGACGCCCUACAGUGAUCAGUCGGUCCGUCCAUUCGUCUUUGCGAGAUCACUAUUCGCACGUUGCACGUUAUAUCAGCUAUUGUCAACAGUUUGGUAAUAAGGGUCCUGCUAUGCAGGCGCCCUACAGUGAUCAGUCCAUCC